AACCACAGCCGCCACACCCUCCCUCCUCCUCCUUGCCUCGUCCGCCGCCGCACUCCCUCCCUCCUCCCUCGUCGCCACAUCCUCCGCCCUAGGACCGCGCGCUCGUCCUGUCAUCUCAUGUGCCAUCGCUGCCGGCCCCUGCCAUGGUGUCGCGGAGCUCUUCCCGCGCCCUCGCGUCCGACCUCACCAGGUCCUCGAUGCCGGCCUCAUCGGCUUGCUGCGGCGGCCGCUCUUGACGCCGUCCUUGCAACCCGACAGGGGCAAACCCGAGCGCGGGCGGCUCAUGUGGUGGUGCAGCGGACGGCAGCCUCAGCGGGUGAGCGACGGAGACUGCAGCUGGUCAGGUGGCCAGUAAAAUUUUCUGCGGAUGUGUCCUUGACGGAUGGAUGGUGACUAACGAGAUGCACUUCUUUGACACAAGUAAUUUUAAUAAAGGGAUUGUGUACAAGUGUUCAGAUCUUUUCUUGUGACAAGGAUGCACAAAAUCAAGUUUUCUGUCGGUAGGAGCUUUUUUCGCUGUCCAACUGUUCAGUUCCACUGGAACAAGGUGUAUACUGGACUUCUUAUUGUCUCCCAACCUGAUGUGGAUAAAACCAACCAGAGUAUUAUGGCGAAACCAAGUUGCACUACUUGACAACUGAUAGGGCCUUUGAAGGAAUUGUUCCUCUCAAAAAGGAGGGGCCAGUGCAUGAUGUUCAGUGGUCUUCUUCAGGUUCUGAAUUUGUUGUGGUCUAUGGAUAUAUCCUUACAUAUUCUGGUGAACCAUGCAUGAGUCAUGCCUCGCCGUUCUGCUGUCCAUAGAAAUCUUUCUUUCUCUUCAUCACCUCUGACUUUUAUUAGCUCGAGCCUUCGUAAGAGGAAGUAUACGAUCUGUUCUGCCAGCUUUAGAUUCUUAUAGAUUACCUAGGUGUCGUUUAUGGGUCGGAAUCAUUAAUUCAUGCCUAUAUUUGAAAAAAAAUGUGCAAAGAACUGCAUUAUUCAUGGCAUUACAUUUCUCUUUUUUCGGACUGGCCUGCUAAUGGUAGCCUCACUUCUUUACAUAGUCCUUACAUGAACCAUAACAUUUCUGAUUUAAUGUGUUUGUUCUCUACCACUGUUCCUUGACUGAAUCUCGGUUAGGCUGGCCAGAGCAACAAUAUUCAGCCAAAAAUGCAAUCCUCUUCACGACCUUGGUGAAGGCCAUUAUAAUACGAUAAGAUGGAAUCCCGAAGGGCGAUGUAUCCUUGCAAUAAUUUGAUCACCCAGUCGUGCUAUGUUCUCUGGUCUGAGUGGGUGUAGAUAUAUAUGCACACCCUUCUGUUAAAGCUUGGUUAUUAGCAUACCAAUAUGCGUCUAACAAAUUGUUAAUGUUCUGUUAUUGCUUGCUUUCGUGUAAGAAAAAAAAUCAUGUUUAUCUUGAUGAUAUCCUUGACCCAAAAAAAUCACCUUCCCUUUUUUCUUCUUCUCAGGCAAUGAGGCAUGAGGAGACGAUGCCCUAUCCACCUUCUGCAACCUCAUAAUUUUUCUUUGACCUGACCAUGUGAUUAUUUUGGGAUUUUAGCUCUAUGCAGCCACUUCUCUUGAUUAAGUUCAGAAAAUGCCGGCAACGGUUCGUUGAAUGGUUAAAGUUGGUUCAUAUCUGUUGUAUUGAACGGUUGAAGUUGGUUCAUAUGCUUUGUAUAAAAUUGUUUUCAUAGAUCAGACCUAGGAUGCAUGCAAUCAUUUUUUUUACUUUAGAAAAUGAUGUUGCGAGCGUAAAUUUAGACCGGACAGAGAUAGCAAUAUACCAAGGGUUCUAAGAAUUGGAUUCAUAAUGCAGGGAUGUUAUUGAUUCAUCUGAGCUGCUCUAUCUGAUUGUAUUUUAUUAAGACCCUGCCAUUUUAAACAUAGCUUUUACAUUCCUAUUCGGGAAAUAAGUGCUAACGGAAAGACGGGAAUGCACUUUUUAAAAUGGUUUUUGCUAGGUAAAUGAUGUUGCACAACAAAUACAAUUGCCUUUGUGUCUUACAUAACUCAUUUUUGUGUAUUCAGGUCAUAUUGCCUGUACAUUCCUAGCGGAAUGGAGUGCCCAGUUUUGUCCAGAAAGUUGAGGGCUUCUGGUGGUUCUUUUGAAAUGAGGGUUUCAGUGCUAACCAUAUUGCAUUUCCAUUUUCAGGGUGUCCUUUUCCUGGAUACCCACCCUCCAAAGCAUAUAUUUGCAUGAUGAUGUAAUGUUAGACCAACUUUCCUAUAUAUAAGACUUUGCAGAUAAUCAAAUAAGAGGAUGGCAUUAUUUGGGCCUCGAUUUGGGCCAAAUCGGGUAAGCCCUCCUCUUAUUUGAUUCUCUUGCGGCACUUGGCUGGUUCCAAGACCGUGAGGGAAAGGACUUCCUGUUGUGUGCGUGCUUGCCUUCGAACCAAAUCGAUCUCAACAGAAACACACACGCGCACACACACACACACACAUAUGCAUUUUUUUCCUUGUCCCUGAUGUUGAGUUGUGAUUUUUUUUUCAAUGUGUACAUGGCUUCAGUGGGGCGAAGUAGAAUAAAUAGUCAAUCUUGAUCUUAUGGAGUGAUGAUUUACAUUCUUUUUGUGAUGAGAUAAAACACAACCUAGGUGUUAUUUAGCUUGCUGCUGUAGGUCAGAGGAACAAUAUGUGGGUCGUUGAGUUCACUGCUUUAAGAUUGUUGUUCUCAUUCGUAGACGAAGAGUUAAUGUGUCCAGGUUUUGGUGCAUUGACCAGCGAAAUUGGGGAAGCUACUGGUCCUUUUAAACUGCACAAGUGCAUUAUGCAUUUAGUUCAGAUUGUCAUCUUUACGAUCAUAUACGGCAGCCUUUUAUUUUAAAUAUAAAACUCCUUUUAUGUACAAGCUUAUUUGAUCACUGGAAAGCUAAAUGAUGUUUGCUCAUCUCUAUAUCAUGACAGUCUUUGUUAAGAUGCAACAAUGCCUUGUGCGUGUGUAGGUUGCAUUGUUUCUAUAUAGGGGCGCAUAUCAGGAUGAGCUUCCCCAGUCCUUCUUUCCCCUCCGCUCAUGAUCUCUUUCUCUCUCUCCCCUACCCAUCUAUGCAAGAAUUGUUUAGCCUAAAUGCUUCUAUAUGCUGUAUGUAUUCUUAGAUGUACUUUGAUCUAUUGUGAAUCUUGUGAUCACAGAACUUUCUGAAUCCGACGCUGUCAAUCGGGCCGCAGAGAGGAAGUGUGGUGGAGAUGAGAUGGGGACAGAGGAUCCUGCAGCGAUGUUGUUUCUUUGUUCUCCUGCUCAAGGUUUGCUAUCAAGCUCUCAAAAAGGAAAAACAACUUUACUCUGUUUUCUGGAGAACCUUCCCGUAGAGUCACUACCUCAACAGAGACAAAUAUGCGAUCAAGGAUAUAUUCGAUGGAUUUUCAAGCAAAACUUGGAGGCUAUUUUUGCAGAUAGUUUGGUGCUCUCAUGGUUAUUUUGUAGAGAUUGUCCCUUUGUUCAUUUCUUGGUAACCGUCUACUGCAGCUCAGCUACUGUCCAGCAGCUAACCUUAUGGCCUUCCAUUCUCACUGUGAUUCCCCGAGAUGUCCUAUCUAAUAAAAUUUUUAUCUUGCCUUUUUCCAUUUCUCCAGGCAUGCACUUUCUAAUAAAAAUUUGGCAGUCUACUUGAAGCGAGUCAUUUAUCUAGCUACAGUAACCUUCCUUGCUUUUGCAAAUAAUACUUUAUGGUUGGCACUAUUGUCUAUAUCUGCCAAAUAACGUUAGUAUAGCCAGAAAUUCAGAUGCCACACGUUAGUGAUGGAUUGUUAUUCUGCUAUCAUUCCAUGUUGGUUAGCCAUGAUAAAUUUGAUUUCUAGAGUAGCAGAUGAUUCAUGUCAGGUUUCUUUUAGAGAUCGAAAUAUGUGUUGACUCUGAAAUAAGUAGUACGCCGUCCAGUUCUACAUAGGUGAAAGCAUACUGAUCCCAUUUACAUACUAUGCAAAACUGGACGGCCUUCUAAAUCUCUGAAACUAAUAUUUGUUGUGUAAUCUGUAUCACCUCUUCAUACUCUCUAUAUGCUUUCUACGUACUCCCUCCGUCCGAAAAAACUUGUCCCAUAAAUACAUGUAUCUAGCACCAAGUUAGUGCUAGAUACAUCCAUUUGAAAGAUAAGCUUGAGACAAGUUUUUCCGGACGGAGGGAGUAGAAGGUAAAAGUGCGUGAGAACGAUGGCCUAGAGGAUGUGAAUUGCACUCGAAUAUAUGCAGGUUUCGUGCCAAACUAGCCAGUAUUGUAUUUCAGAUGCUUCUUCUGUAACUUAAUAUAUUUUGCCGGCUCUUCUCAUUUCCCGGUGAACUUUUUAGUCUGUACAGUUGAAUCAUUGGAAGUUAUUUUCUACUAUCUAUAGAGGUUUUAUUAUCCAAACUAUUAGCUGCCUGACUUGCUUUUUUGAAACGAAGUGUUCCUAGGAUUGCCUUUUUUACAUAUGGUUAUGCUCCAUAUGGCUACCUAUGUACAUAUGUGAAGGUUCUGUUUGGACUACUCAAAUCGCGUGGAGCUGUUAAAUUUCCUAUUUGUUGCCUUGCCGUUGUGUGCCAUCGCAAUGUUUACUCCAGAAAAAUUGAAUGAGCAAACUUCUUUCUUGAUUAGUUACUUGUUUUGCCUUAAAGACGUUCCCCACCUGUCACAUGUUUUAUUUUUGUAUGAAUUUAUAUUCCCUGGAAUAUGAGAAUACACCGUCCUGAUAGACCAGUGGACCAACACGUUUCCAUUGUAUUUUAGAAAAAUAUAUGUGAACUUGCAUAUAUUUUCUAAAUUUAUGCCUUUUCUUAUCCAUGCUCCUCCAUAGAUAAAUAGUAGGCUCAACAAAAAUGAAUGUUCACUUGUGUUCAAAUUUCUAGGAAGUGUGCUCCAUGCUUCUCUUUCUGCAAUAUGUUUCAGAGUAUAUAUUUUAAUUUUCCGACUUUCCCUGUUACAGUACUGUGUAUGUCAUUCUUAGCUUUGCUUUUGGAAACAUAAUAGUCUAGAAAUGCCAACUUGAAAUUGAACGAGCAACAAUCCAGUUAUUGUGCUUUCUUUCCCUCAUAAACUUGCUGACGAUAUGGGUGAAGACCCAUUACAGAUUUCUUAUGGAAUAAAAAGGUAAAUAUGAUGAUUUGAGAAUUGUUGGUCAAGAGCCAUGAAUAAGAGAAAGGCAUCACACUCAAGUUCGGAGAAGAAAAAGGAUACAAAGACAAAGAUAGAUCAGUAUUCUGCUCUGAAGCUAAAACUUUUUGUGGAAUCCAUGUUACUUGAUUUUGUAUUAUGGAAGUAUGACUUGGUCAUAUAUAUUUACAUUAAUGUUGUCAAGUUGUGGUUCAGCAAUAGGCAUAAUGUCCUAUCAAGUUACUUGAUUUUGUAUUAUAAGCACAACCCUCUUGAUCCAACUAGGAACAUCAAAACCAAAUGGGAUAUCAUUGAGUGGACUUCAGAUGGGUCUUGCCAAGAUCUGAGGAUGAAGGGAAGAAGAAGAAUUUAACUAAACAGUGAAGAAGAUCAAGGAGAAGGAUGGCAGAAGUGAGUUCAAAAGGGAGAUCAUCUACACCACUGGCAGAUCAGCGGGACAAGGGCAAUCAGUAGAGAGAUAGGGCAAAAGGGAGAUCUUUAUGCCACAUAAACUUGCAGAUCAACGUGAGGAGGACAAUCGGUAGAGAGGAUAGGGCACAAGGGAGAUCUGUAUGCCGCCUAUAGAUCAUCAUGUUCUGGCAACAAGGAGGAUGAUCAAGAAGGAUUGGGGAACACCAGCAAAAAAAGUACUGGGGAAGAUGGGCGGGACGAAGGCUUGGAGAUUGUUGUUUGGCGCCAACGUGCGUUUGGUGGUGAUUGCUGGCUGGCUGACUGCGGUGUGCUACUGGCGAUGAGAUCCAGGAGGAGGUGGCGGCGGACAGGGAGACGAGGUAGGGAUGAACUGCCGAUUAAGAUGCAGAGCUGCUGUUUUUAUCAUGUUGUUCUUAUCCUGCUCACUGUGAUAUUUGUGGAAAAUAUUUGCACUAUGGUUUGGUUAAGAUAUAGAGCUACUAUUUUUAUUCUGCAUUACCUCGUGGGUCUCAUUAUAUGGAUUAAGUACAAGGCAUCUGUGGUUCAAAAUUUUUUAGUAACCUGUGUUUAUCUUUACUGUCUGGUGUCGAAUUGACCGAUUAGUCGGUUGAAUUGAUUGUAAAGGAUUGCCCAAUGUGGUUAUCCGAAGAUUGUAGUUUACCAUAUAUGCUUACUACAAAAUGCUUAUUUCGCUUCA